rnacentral:lncRNA from 1 species
AUUAAUGACCCGGAGCCACAUGACGGAGCAUGACACAGCACUUUUGGGCACAAGGCAGGGCCCAGAGGGGUGCGUGGGGGCCGCAGCCCAGCCCCCAAGCCCCGCCAGCGGCUUUACUGGGGUGUAACAAACACACGAUAAACUGCGCAUAUUCCAGUGUUCAUGUGGAUGAGUUUGGACAUAUGCACACACUUCCGAAACCACCAGCACAAUCAAGACAGCAGACAUAUCCAUCGCCCCCAAGGGUGUCCUUGUGUCUUUUUGUCAUUCAUCCCUCCCGGCCGCCCCAUCCACACUCCCAUCGCCUGCCGACUGUGGCUGAUCUGCUUUCUGCGGCUGUGGAUUAGUUUGCGUUCUCUACAAUUUUCUGAAGCACCAGUUGGCCCAGAUGCUUCUCAUCUUUGGAGUUGAGCUGCAGGCUGGAGACCUGGAAGGCCCUCGCAGCGCCUGCUCCCAUCCUCUCACCUCACGAAAGCGCAGGAAUGUGGGUUUGGAGUCAAUGAAAAGUACUGGAAUCUGGCUCUGCUCUGUGACCCUGGGCAAGUCACUGCACCUCUCUGGGCUUCAGUUUCCUCCUUGCUCCAUGAGGGCAGGGGAUUUUUGUCUGUUUCAUUCACAAUGUAUUCCCAGAGCUCAGCACAGUGUCAGGCACACACUAGGUAACAGCACCUCGACUUCCUACUGAAGAACCCCCUCUUCCCUUUUCUCAGUCCAUGAGGCUGGGGGUGCCCAGAGGCCUCUGUCUCCAGGGGAGGACAUGUGACUGGGUCUUGCUCUAGUGAUUGGUCCAGGGAUGGGCACAUGACUGAGCCUGCCCAAUGAAACUUGAACCUGGGACUUCGGGGUUGGCCAUGAUUUGUGAAGGAGAUGCCAUUUUCCAUUGGAUGGACAGUGAGCAAGUGAACGCUUAGAGAAAAAGAGGACAAAACAAGGGAAAAGCCUGCCUGAGAGGAAGCAGCACAGAGCUGGACAGGCUUUGAACUCCUGGAUCCCACUGUACCUGAAAUUAGGCACCUUCAACUUUCUAGUUUUGUGAGCCACUGUCUUUCCCAUUUUUGGCUGAAAACAGUUGGGACUGGCUUUCUGUCCCUUGCAUACAGAAGGUGCUGACUGACCCCUGCCCCAUGGAAGAAGAUACUCCAGGCAGAGGAAAUAGUGUGUAUAGACACCCCUAAGCGAAUGCCAAGCGGGGCACUCAUGUACCAAGAAGAAGAAGGAGGAGGCACCUGGGAGCUGAGCUUAAGAGUUAGUCGGGUGGUCAAAGUGGGAGAAGGGGGUAUCUUUAGCAGAGGGAACAACCAUUGAAAAAGCUUGGAGGGGUGACUAGUUAGUGAAGAUCAACUGUGUGCUGAGCUCGUGUUGGGUGGCAAGGGACACAGACGAAAAGGGCACGGUGGAACCCAGCUACUUCUCACCUGCUCCAGCGCAGUGCAGGCUUGUCUGCUUUUGGAGCCGAGCCUGGACACCUCCAUGUCCUUCGCCCGGCAGAGUGCUGCCAGCACGCUGUCUCAGACUCUCCAGCAUCUCCUGGUUGAUGUGCAUCAUGGGGACCACACAAGAUUACUUUAUAGGCUGCACAGGCAAAGCAUAAAAUCACCUCGGGUCACACAGUGAGAGUUAUUCUCUCUGCAAAUUCUUUACAGUCUUUCCUUUAUAUCCAGAAGAGCCUCUGUGUGGUGCUAACUUGCCUCGAAGACCAAAUAAUUGCUAGUCUCCCUUUGUGAAAAGGAGAGCAGGUGUCAGGCUCAUUCAUGUCUCAGGCACACAAUUGUAUCUAGCUAGACUUUUUGAAAUGUCCUAUAGAGCUGCAGCACAUAUGAAUGAGGUGUCCAGCUGGUCCCAGGCCUGUAAUCGGCACCCCAGUGAGCAGACUGGACAUCCCCACCUCCACAGCUGCCCUUUCUCCCCUCCGCUCAUGUUCCCUCUAGGGACGCCACGAUCCCGACUUGUAUCACCACAGAUGAGUUUCACAUGUUUUUGAAUUUUACAUCUUAUCUGUUUUCUGUUUCUAUACAAGUUUGCCUUUUUUGAAUUCCAUAUAAGUGGAAUUCUACAAUGUGUUAUCUCAAUUUGAGUCUGUUUUUUUUUUCCUGCUCAGCAUGAUGUUUUUGAGAUGCAUAUAUGCGGUUUUGUGUAUCUGUAGAUGGUUCUUUUUUAUUGCAGAAUAAUGUUCCAGGGUAUGGAUGUACCAAAGCUUGUUCAUCCAUUCACCAGCUGAGGGAUAUUUGGACUGUUUCCAGUUUUCAGCCAUUAUAAAUAAAGCCACUAGGCACAUUUGCAAA